UGCGGGGGGUGCAAGCGUUAUCCGGAAUCACUGGGUUUAAAGGGUGCGUAGGCGGCUUAAUAAGUCAGAGGGGAACGGCUGUGGCUCAACCAUGGGAUUGCCUUUGAUACUGUUAGGCUUGAAUCAGGCUGAGGUUUGCAGAAUGUGGCAUGUAGCGGUGAACUGCAUAGAUAUGCCAUAGAAUACCGAUUGCGAAGGCAGCUGACUGGCCCUUGCUUGACGCUGGGGCACGAAAGCGUGGGGAGCGAACAGG
rnacentral:rRNA from 1 species